AUUGAACGCUGGCGGCAGGCCUAACACAUGCAAGUCGAGCUAGCGGCGGACGGGGGUGUAAUGUAUGGGGACUGCCCGCUAGAGGGGGAUAACUCCUGGAAACGGUAGCUAAUACCGCAUACUAUCGGAUAACCCAUAUGUGAUUAUCUAGUAGGUGAGGUAAUGGCUCACCUAGGCGACGAUCCCUAGCUGGUCUGAGAGGAUGAUCAGCCAGACUGGGACUGAGACACGGCCCAGACUCCGACGGAGGCAGCAGUGGGGAAUAUUGCACAAUGGGGGCAAGCCUGAUACAGCCAUGCCGGGUGUCUGAAGAAGGACUUAGGGUUGUAAAGUACUUUAAGUCGGGAGGCGUUAACGGCAGAAGAAGCCCCGGCUAACUCAGUGCCAGCAGCCGCGGUAAUUC
rnacentral:rRNA from 1 species